AUUGAACGCUGGCGGCAGGCCUAACACAUGCAAGUCGAGCGGAUGAAGGGAGCUUGCUCCUGGAUUCAGCGGCGGACGGGUGAGUAAUGCCUAGGAAUCUGCCUGGUAGUGGGGGAUAACGUCCGGAAACGGGCGCUAAUACCGCAUACGUCCUGAGGGAGAAAGUGGGGGAUCUUCGGACCUCACGCUAUCAGAUGAGCCUAGGUCGGAUUAGCUAGUUGGUGGGGUAAAGGCCUACCAAGGCGACGAUCCGUAACUGGUCUGAGAGGAUGAUCAGUCACACUGGAACUGAGACACGGUCCAGACUCCUACGGGAGGCAGCAGUGGGGAAUAUUGGACAAUGGGCGAAAGCCUGAUCCAGCUAUGCCGCGUGAGUGAAGAAGGUCUUCGGAUUGUAAAGCACUUUAAGUUGGGAGGAAGGGCAGUAAGUUAAUACCUUGCUGUUUUGACGUUACCAACAGAAUAAGCACCGGCUAACUUCGUG
rnacentral:rRNA from 1 species